CCGUUCUUCAUCAGCUCCACGGCUUCGUUGACCUGGUCCAGCCUCAGGUUGUGGGUGAUGAACUCGUCCACCAUCAGCUUCCUGUCCAGGCUGCAUCGAUCAGACAGACUCUGUCCAGCGGCGCGGCCGCAGAAAUCUCCUUCACCACGGCGAACUCAGAGCUGAUGCCCCCAGCAGCUGAUCCUGGAUUCAUUCAGAACCAUCCAUGAAUUCAUUUCUGCAGCCUAAUGAACACAUGAUGAUGCAAUGAAGGGAUGAGCUCCGUACUCGCCGACACACAUGUUGGUUGCAGAAGCGGCAUUCCCGACACUGAGGCAUGAACAGCGGAUCCCCGUGGUGAAGAUUUAAUCUGUGCUCCACACUGUCAGGUUGAUCCUGAGGAACCAGGCGGUCCGGCUGGUUCUACUGACCCGGCUGGAACUCUGUGACCCCGCCCGCCCGUCCGUCCAUCUGCUCAUUUGUUGUCGAGUAUUUCUUAUUUUAAAGCCAGAUUCCCUUCUGCUGAGUAUCUCUGACGUUUCCUGAUGUUCCUCUGCUAAAACGCUGUUAUUGCUUCAUUGUUGACCUCAGCUGACGGAACAACGAGUUUCCUGUUGUGUUUCAGGUUCUCUGCUGCUUUAGCCAACGUCUGUCUGGUUGUUUCUUGUCAAUCAGUUGCAACAACUUGUUAACAUCAACACGCUACACAAAGACUUAUUAGCAGAAUUGGAGUCAUGUAGGUUAAUAAUGACCUUUUCUAACAGACACAACUCAUAAAGAGGCUGAAAUAUAAUAAACACUAUGAGCUACCUGGA